AGGCGAUUAGCUCAGGGGUAGAGCGCUUCCUUCACACGGAAGAGGCCACUGGUUCAAAGCCAGUAUCGCCUACCA
rnacentral:tRNA from 2 species